rnacentral:tRNA from 1 species
GAGGGCAUAGCUCAGUGGUAGAGUGCGUGCUUGGCAUGCAUGAGGUCCUGGGUUCAGUCCCCAGUACCACCA